ACGCGAAGCCCCCUUCGGGGGGCAAGUAGAGUGGCGCACGGGUGAGUAACACGUAGGUAAUCUACCUUUGGAUGGGGAAUAACCACCGGAAACGGUGGCUAAUACCGCAUAAUGCAGCGGCACCUAAUGGUGACAGUUGUUAAAGCGGGGGAUCGCAAGACCUCGCGUCUGAAGAGGAGCCUGCGGCGGAUUAGCUAGUUGGUAGGGUAACGGCUUACCAAGGCGAUGAUCCGUAGCCGGCCUGAGAGGGCGGUCGGCCACACUGACACUGACAUACGGGUCAGACUCCUACGGGAGGCAGCAGUCGGGAAUUUUGGGCAAUGGGCGAAAGCCUGACCCAGCAACGCCGCGUGAAGGAUGAAAUCCCUCGGGAUGUAAACUUCGCAAGAACGGGAAGAAUAAGUCUGCGCAAAUAUCGCAGAUGAUGACGGUACCGUUUGUAAGCUCCGGCUAACUCCGUGCCAGCAGCCGCGGUAAUACGGGGGGAGCAAGCGUUG
rnacentral:rRNA from 1 species